GAUGAACGCUGGCGGCAUGCCUAACACAUGCAAGUCGAGCGGAAAGAGGAGUAUCUUGCUGCGCUCGCGUGAGCGACGCGCGAGUAAGUGCCACGGGGAUGAGCACAAUAUCUGGAAAGGGUUACUACUAGCACGUGGGCCUAGUAGCAGAAGAUGGAUUGAGCCGGAGGGGGGGCUAGUGUCUGAGUAGUUAGUUGGAGCGGAAAUAGCUUACCGAGGCGCUGGACCGAAGUUGGUACGAGAGGACGAUCGGCCACACUGGGACUGAGACACGGCCCAGGCUCCUACGGGAGGCAGCAGUGGGGAAUAUUCCGCAAUGGGCGAAAGCCUGACGGAGCAAUGCCGCUGGGAGGUAGAAGGCCCACGGGUCGUGAACUGCGUUUCUCGGAGAAGAAACAAUGACGGUAUCUGAGGAAUAAGCAUCGGCUAACUCUGUG
rnacentral:rRNA from 1 species